CCAAAUAUGUAAAUGAUUUUUUUUCUAUUCUACAUUUGUGUAUUUUUCUUAUACUCUUUUGUAAUUUUCUUAAACGCUUUUGUAAUUUUCUUAAACACUUUUGUAAUUUUAUUAAUGUGUACCAUACUAGCAUGAAGAAUGAUGUAAUCUUGUUUUCAGAUGAAUAUAUAUAAGUCAUGAUUCCUUUAUAUAUGUUUUU
rnacentral:lncRNA from 1 species